UGGGCUCUUCCGGCUGCCAGAGCCGCGGCCCGGGGAGAAGAUUCUCUCUCUGCCGUAUCAUCCACUGCAGGGCCCCAGGAUGUCCGCACCAGGCCCUGCCGGAUGGCCGUGGAUUUUGGAUGUAGGAGGCUGUAAUGGACGACCAGCGACACGCUGCCUGAGAAAGAAAACAAGGAGCACAAGAAAGUGCACUGCCUUGUUGCAGCCGGCCCGUUAAGCCGUGUCAAACCUCCCUGACACCGUGAAGGGAACGCACGAACGAACAGACAAGUGAUCCUCACACGGCCACCGAGGGCUGGGUAUUGGGAUUAUCCCUUCACAAACACGCAAACAGAGGUCCCCAGAGACCCCCCAGCUAUCCAGUGACGCUGUCGGGAUUUCACGUGAAGCCUGUGCUGUGUGACCCUCUAUCCGUGGCACCCACGUGCGUGGGAAGGAAACACAAGCAGGGCCUGCCCCCCGGGUGGGACCCAGGACUGACAGGGCCCAGGUGUCCUGUGAGGCCGCCUGGCUCCCCUGCCCACGGGGUCAACGAGCUACACGGGUCCUGAAAACGGCAGGUGGCCUGGACGCUCCCUGUCCCUGGCCCAGAGCUACCUUCCUGCCUGUCUCCAUCCUGGGUGUCACCUCCCCCGGCAGGUCUCCUCACCUGUCACCUCAAUAGUGGCUGCUGCUCACGGCUAUGCUGUGCUGGCCACUCACGUGUAUUAUCUUCUCUGAUCCCCACGAGGGCCCUGCAGAGCAGGUGGGUCCUAUUUAAUCUUCGCAGGAACACCGAGAGGUAGACGACUUACUCUUAACGAGCCGAUGAAAACACAGGUUUAGAGAGUUUAAAUCCUUGGCCAGAGUUAGUAGCAGCAGCCGGCACAACUGGGGUCCAGGGCGAAGUCGUCUGACUCCAAAAUCCACCCACCUGCCUGUGUUUUCUCUGCUUUGCUCGUCACAACUGGUUCGGCUCAUACCCUCCAGCCGGACGUGUCUCGGGCUACCUUGCCGGGCACUGGCGGGGCGGGUGCUCCUGAGCCCAAACGUUUCUCUCUCCUGGCAUCGAGCCUCAUUCUGCCUUAGUUUUUGGUUAUUUGGGUACUUAGACUUACCAAAUAUUAUGAAUUUUUAAAAAAAAAUGCGUAGAAAUCUCCUCUGCUGGACUAGAAGCAACCUGGAGACAGGCAUUAGGCCACCUGUGUGCUUCUCACACCACCUAGGACCACGCCUGGACCUCGGGGCACACAAGGAGUGAGAACUGCGGUGACCAGCGAGGACACUAGUGUGACAUAACACAGGGCAACUGUGAUGACAGCAGAUGAGCUGAUGCAGAGACGACGUCACCAAACACACCACGUUGCCAGCCACUGUGUGGCAACAGCUGAUGGCAGGUUCCUAUUCUCAAAGCCCGUCGUCUCCAUUCAAGGCUGUAAUUCCUUCUAGAAUAUUUUCUAAAACUAGCCUGUUCCUUCUUCUCUAGGUAUGCACGCACCAGUGCACACGCAUGCACACCCACACACACACACACACACGCACUACAUGCUCUGUGUGCCAUAAAAGUCAGGAUUAAAGAGAACUGCCAUUGCCACUUGCCAGGUAGAACGUGACCAUCCUGUUUCUGGAAGGGCUGUCCCACAGGUUGAGGUAGCAGAGGAUGUACACGGCCCCCACGAGCAGGUUGAACAGCCUCCAGUGGCAGGUGCUGUCGACAAUGUCACUCUGCUGGGCCACGAGCCAGAAGGUCAUCACCAGCCAGUGGACACCUGGAGAGAGGUGGCGGUCAGGGUCCCCGUGGGGACACGCGUGGAGUGAGGCAAGGACACAGAGACCAGGGCUAGAAGCUCUCUUCUCUGCUCCAACCGCAUCCUGCUCAGCAUCUAAGAAGAGACGUCAAAACCCAGAAGAGAUUCGGGGGACACAGAAAACCCACCCAGUUUACCUUUGCACAAAUUAUCCCACUUGACCCCCAUAAAGGGCAUUUGACCUGAUGUGAAGAUGAGAGAGAACAAAGGCCAGCUUCAGCAAUGCUGACCAAAUAUUAAUAUUACAGACUUAUGCCCUUUUAGUUCCAGAAUGUAUUUAAUGAAGCAGUUAUAAAACUGUCCACUCUUUUUCAAUUGUUACUACAGUACCUAAAAACCUCCACACCCAAAGGAAAGAACUCUACGGGGUCCGGCUAUAAUUUUUAUUUCUAUAUUUUAAAAUAAAUAAUAUCAUUCUGGAA